AUUUCGCUGUGAGUGUUCCC
rnacentral:miRNA from 1 species